rnacentral:miRNA from 1 species
AGUGCCAGGAGUGCAUUCUACA